rnacentral:lncRNA from 1 species
AUUCUUCAGCCCUGCACUCUGGAAUGUUCACAGGGUGUCUGUGCAUCUCCCCUGAUUCCAGCCCACAGGACACUUGCUCUCUCUUUCUUGUGACCCCAACAUGUCAGCUGGCAAGACUCAACAUUCCUGUCUGGGACUGAGCAGCUUGAACCACUUGUAUGAGUCACAGAAAAGGAGAAUCAUACCCCCAUUCCACCACCCCACUCCAACCCCUCCACUGUGGCUCCAAUGUUACAGACCACUCCUAACUUCAGUCCCGGAAGAAUGGAAGGAAGGCUGCAACUUAAGAGACUGCGGUUAGAAGUGAUCUUCAUAAAUUGUUUGCCUUGCCUGUGUCUAGAGUCCUUAAGGUAUGGGUCCUCC